CCUACGUGAGGCAGCAGUGGGGAAUAUUGCACAAUGGGGGAAACCCUGAUGCAGCGACGCCGCGUGAGUGAAGAAGUACUUCGGUAUGUAAAGCUCUAUCAGCAGGGAAGAAAAUUACGGUACCUGAGUACUCAGCCCCGGCUAACUCCGUGCCAGCAGCCGCGGUACUACGGAGGGGGCAAGCGUUAUCCGGAUUUACUGGGUGUAAAGGGGACGUAGGAGGCAGCACAAGUCUGGUGUGAAAUGCCGGGGCUUAACCCUGGAACUGCUGUGGAAACUGGGCAGCUAGAGUGCAGGAGAGGUGAGUGGAAUUCCUGGUGUAGCGGUGAAAUGCGUAGAGAUUAGGAGGAACACCAGUGGCGAAGGCGGCUUACUGGACUGUAACUGACGUUGAGGCUCGAAAGCGUGGGGAGCAAACAGGAUUAGAUACCCUUGUAGUC
rnacentral:rRNA from 1 species